AUUGAACGCUGGCGGCAGGCCUAACACAUGCAAGUCGAGCGGAGCGGCGGACGGGUGAGUAAUUCCUAGGAAUCUGCCUGGUAGUGGGGGAUAACGUCCGGAAACGGGCGCUAAUACCGCAUACUAUCAGAUGAGCCUAGGUCGGAUUAGCUAGUUGGUGGGGUAAAGGCCGAUCAAGGCGCCGAUCCGUAACUGGUCUGAGAGGAUGAUCAGUCACAGUGGAACGUAGACAGGGUCCAGACUCCAACGGGAGGCAGCAGGGGGGAAUAGUGGACAAUGGGCGAAAGCCUGAUGCAGCAAGGCGGGGUGUGUGAAGAAGGUCGUAGGAUUGUAAAGCAUAUAAAGUUGGGGGGCGUUACCAACAGAAUAAGCACCGGCUAACUUCGUGCCAGCAGCCGCGGUAAUAC
rnacentral:rRNA from 1 species